rnacentral:lncRNA from 1 species
UUAUAUGCUGAUUUCGUAAAUUUUAUCAAUGAAUAUCUAAGGUACUUAUCAUUUUGUUGACAACUGUCCUACAGAAGUCGACUUGCCUUGCAAGAAUUUUAUUGAGAGGGGAUAGCGAAGCAAUACCAAUGCAACAUUAGUCAGAAAAAAGAGGGUUUUAAAUUUCUUAUCAUCCGAAAAAAACUGAACGACGAUAAAUAUCUGGUGAGGAUAAUGUCUUUCUCACGAAGGAUUUCGGUUGUUAUUAUCGCAACUAUACUUAUAUGGAAGGUCACACAGGUAGAGAACCAGCUAUGUCGGGUUAAAGGUCGCGGCUGCAGGGACACCGGAUUGAAUCGUUGGGGCAGAGGACGGUGUGCUAGGCUUGGCGACAUAUUAGAUACGAUUAUGAGAUGUCAACGGUAUGGUUUACGUUGCCGAUGCAACAUAAUUGGAAAUAAACCGGGAAAUAUUGGAACUGAUUUUGACGGGUCAUACUAUGACAAUAAUUUGUAUUCUGAAAUAUAUUAAACCGUUCUACAAUAAUCAAAAUGGCUACAAUAUUUCAUUGGUUUAAAAUUCAUUUUAAAACAUUCUGGUACACGUAAGACUUAUAGUGACAAAAUGGAAGGAUAUUUGUUGAAGAAUGCACAAAUAUUCUGUGUUUGUUUAACAAAAUUUGAGACUUUGGGAAUAUGUUAUUUAAUAUUUGAGUAAAAGAAACAAUUGGUGUUUGUUAAAA